AAUCCAUAGGUUAAUGAGGCGAACCGGGGGAACUGAAACAUCUAAGUACCCCGAGGAAAAGAAAUCAACCGAGAUUCCCCCAGUAGCGGCGAGCGAACGGGGAGGAGCCCAGAGCCUGAAUCAGCAUGUGUGUUAGUGGAAGCGUCUGGAAAGGCGCGCGAUACAGGGUGACAGCCCCGUACACAAAAGCGCAUGUGCUGUGAGCUCGAUGAGUAGGGCGGGACACGUGGUAUCCUGUCUGAAUAUGGGGGGACCAUCCUCCAAGGCUAAAUACUCCUGACUGACCGAUAGUGAACCAGUACCGUGAGGGAAAGGCGAAAAGAACCCCGGCGAGGGGAGUGAAAAAGAACCUGAAACCGUGUACGUACAAGCAGUGGGAGCACAGGUUUACCUGUGUGACUGCGUACCUUUUGUAUAAUGGGUCAGCGACUUAUAUUCUGUAGCAAGGUUAACCGAAUAGGGGAGCCGGAGGGAAACCGAGUCUUAAUUGGGCGUUAAGUUGCAGGGUAUAGACCCGAAACCCGGUGAUCUAGCCAUGGGCAGGUUGAAGGUUGGGUAACACUAACUGGAGGACCGAACCGACUAAUGU
rnacentral:rRNA from 1 species